UAUAAUAUUUGAUUUGACUCGAUUGUACCUGUGAUGACGUCAUCGAAUUAUAGGGACUACUUUCCUUCCUUGCCACUAGUCUCAUCGCCAUCUUGGACGCAGUGACAUGUGUACACGGUGUUUCGUCGCUCCGCAUAAUUACAGAUUUCUAAGAAGCUGUAGCUACAAUACAGAACGUCGAAUAUACCAGUUUAUACAUCUCUUCGAAACGAAUCGAACUUUAUUGCAAUCGUGCGCGUAGCAGUGCAGCAAUCGAGUGUGUGU